rnacentral:tRNA from 1 species
GCCUCGAUAGCUCAGUCGGCAGAGCGUUAGACUGAAGAUCUAAAGGUCCCUGGUUCAAUCCCGGGUCGAGGCA